CAAGUAAUUCGCUUUAUCGCUCAAGUUUAAUAUUUGGGAGGAAAGUCCGAACACCAUAGUGCAACAUAGUGGUUAAUGGCCACCAGUCGUGAGGCUAGGAAAAGUGCAACAGAAAGUAUGUACAGGUAAUGCUGUAGUGAAAUCAGGUAAACUCUAUGUGGUGCAAUGUCAUGUAUACCAACGUUUGAGGGCUGCACGCUCGAUUGUUGGAGGGUAGACAGCUAAAAUGUGCUGGUAACAGUACAUUCAGAUAAAUGAUAAGGGCUUUUUCUUUUUAGAAUUCUUUUCUAAAAAGAAAAGUACAGAAUUCGGCUUAUAGAUUUACUUGCUUA
rnacentral:RNase_P_RNA from 1 species